rnacentral:rRNA from 1 species
GAGUCUGAACCUGGCUCAGGAUGAAUGCUGGCGGCGUGCCUAACACAUGCAAGUCGAGCGGCAGCGAGGGGUGCUUGCGCCCUGUCGGCGAGCGGCGGACGGCUGAGUAACGCGUGGGAAUCUACCCUAAAGUGAGGGAUAACCGCCCGAAAGGGUGGCUAAUACCGCAUAUGAUCUUCGGAUUAAAGGAUUUAUCCGCUUUAGGAAGAGCCCGCGUUAGAUUAGGUAGUUGGUAGGGUAAUGGCCUACCAAGCCAACGAUCUAUAGCUGGUCUGAGAGGAUGAUCAGCCAGACUGGAACUGAGACACGGUCCAGACUCCUACGGGAGGCAGCAGUGAGGAAUCUUCACAAUGGGCGAAAGCCUGAUGGAGCAACGCCGCGUGAAGGAUGAAGGCCUUCGGGUUGUAAACUUCUUUUAUGAGUGAAGAAUAUGACGGUAACUCAUGAAUAAGCACCGGCUAACUACGUGCCAGCAGCCGCGGUCAUACGUAGGGUGCAAGCAUUAUCCGGAGUGACUGGGCGUAAAGAGUUGCGUAGGCGGUUUAAUAAGUGAAUAGUGAAACCUGGUGGCUCAACCAUACAGACUAUUAUUCAAACUGUUAAACUCGAGAGUAGUAGAGGUAACUGGAAUUUCUAGUGUAGGAGUGAAAUCCGUAGAUAUUAGAAGGAACACCAAUGGCGUAGGCAGGUUACUGGACUAUUUCUGACGCUAAGGCACGAAAGCGUGGGGAGCGAACUGGAUUAGAUACCCAGGUAGUCCACGCCGUAAACGAUGGAUACUAGCUGUUGGAGGUAUCGACCCCUUCAGUAGCGAAGCUAACGCGUUAAGUAUCCCGCCUGUGGAGUACGGCCGCAAGGCUAAAACAUAAAGGAAUUGACGGGGACCCGCACAAGCGGUGGAUCAUGUUCUUUAAUUCGAUGAUAAACGAAGAACCUUACCAGGGUUUGACAUCCCGAGAAGAUUUACGAAAGUAGAUUGUGCCUUUUGGAACUCGGUGACAGAUGAUGCAUGGCCGUCGUCAGCUCGUGUCGUGAGAUGUUUGGUUAAGUCCAUCAACGAGCGCAACCCUUGUGAAUAGUUGAAUUUUUCUAUUCAGACUGCCCCGGCAACGGGGAGGAAGGAGGGGAUGAUGUCAGGUCAGUAUUUCUCUUACAUCCUGGGCUAGAAACGUGAUACAAUGGCAAGUACAAUGCGCAGCGAAGCCGCGAGGUGAAGCAAAUCGCACCAAAGCUUGUCCCAGUUCGGAUUGGAGGCUGAAACUCGCCUCCAUGAAGUCGGAAUCGCUAGUAAUCGCAGGUCAGCAAACUGCGGUGAAUACGUUCCCGGGUCUUGCACACACCGCCCGUC